CCUCAUCCUCUAAGACGCAAUCCGAUUCGCCGGGAAAAAUACUAUUCAAUGUUUUUCCCGCGUCAGGCAUAGAAAAUAGUUUGCUUAAAUUAUGAAUCUUGAUAACAACACUGUUUUGAGCCAGUAGAAAGCAAUAGAGUUUUAAUGCUUCCUAAAGCAAUUCCCAUAUAGGGUAGCGUAGAACUGUAACAUUUCUGCCUGCGAAUAGUGCUUCGCACCCAUGCGAUGCGCGCAUAUUUCUUUAUUGGAGAAAUUUUGCCAGAAGAAAAGGCCUAAAGGAUUCAUUUCACCAGACGAUGAAUAACAGGAAAUUGGAUCACCACGCCAAAUUUACUUACCAGCCUAGGCAUGGCCUUAACUAAGAAGUUGUUCAUUGGAAAUGGGAGAAAGCACUCUAAGGGUAUCUGCCUAAAGGGAAGGUUUCUUCUGUGAACCUUCUAACAGAAGCCAAUUUAUAUGUACGUUACAAACAGAAAAACCAAGGUUAUUACAGUACAAGGUUUACUCUCAUAUGACGUCACUUAAUCUUAGACUAUCAAAACUAGUUUUCUCGAUAUUUUCUUUGUGGCUUCGUUUCUCGCACUUCCGUAAUUGACGUUAGUGUUGAGGAGAGCCUAACCUUGUUGACUACUGAUAUCGGUUCAAACCACAAAAACAUUCAGGUAACCAAGCCCGCAUUUCGAACCCAAACUCCAGUCUAAGUAAUGAUGCUCAGCAGUUUUAACCAUUCUGCAACUAGAAGGCGCUAAACUAAGAAGAAUGAAAUAAAAACGAGAUCUGAAAAAGAAAGAACCAUGGUUUAUAUUCAGUUGAAUAGACCUCGAUGGCCAAAUAUUAAGUAUCAUUCGUUUGGCUGUUAAGGAGUCAUUCGAUCUUCAGUAUUUCACUUUUUUCCCUAAUACCUUCGCAACAGCAACGUCAAAGUAAAGAAAUGAAAGUCACACCAAGGAGGCUUCGGUUUAUAUGGCAAUGAUGAAUGGGAAAAAAAAACAUGUGCGAGAACGAGAAAAGGGAGUAAGAUAUGAAAAGGAAGGUUUUAAUAAAACAAGGCUGUAAGCCAUGAUUUGUAAUUGCACAGAUACAUUCGUUCUAUAGAUGAAAUGAAAGCAAGAGAUGAUAUUUAGUACUGGUUAUGAUACUUCUUAACAGCAAUAGCGGAUUUGCAGGGUUUACUCCCACCUAACAAAAGAUGGCUGAUAAUGUAAUAUAUUGCUAGUUCUCUCUACGAGCUCUUUUCAGUUGAUGGACAUAGUGUGUGGUAUACGAGACGUAUUCCUACAGCAUUCCACCCAUCUUCUGCAGAACUGAGAUGUAAGGACCUUGCAGGCUAGUCCAGCUGAGAGAUAUCACCACUCUUUAAUAAUUACUCUACAGCACAUGCAUGAUGUGCUGAGGCAUUAUUGUUUUCAGAAAAAGAAAUAAAAACCAUUGUGAUUCAGAAAAGACACACAUGGGGAAUGAUUAAGUCAGGGCAAGAGCAGCUUGCCGUUAUGGAUGUCAUAUUGCCAUCAUUAACUUAUCUCUACAGAAAAGGUUACGACUAGAAUCGUUCGGAAGCUUAAGCAGACUCUCAUCCACGAGGGGUAUCGCACUUCACUGUUGCGCUAUUCAAUCUUGGUGUUGCCUAACACCUUUAAAAACGGUGUUUAACGGGGUACUAGAUGUAACCACGGAAAUGCCCAUACAGUAAACCUAUUUGCAAGGAUGUUAUCGUCGGGUCAAUGUAUCAGUACUUAUCCUUUCAGCCACCGAUGUAGUUCUUUAUAAAUUGUAAUAAAACACUACGGGUCUACU